AGUAAGGGGGAGUAGGCAGGUGUUAAAACAGAGCCAGAAGUGGGGCUAGAGGAAAGGUGACUACAAAGGUCUAGGAGAGGGAUUAGGAAAAAAGAGAGAGAGGGAAUUGUGGUGGGUGGUGGUUUUUUUGGGAUGUGCAGUUCAGUGUGGGGACUGCACAACACCUGACUAUAUUACAGUGGUCUCCAUUCAAGCCAGAAAAGGGGGUGAAGGUUUGCUCUUUCUCAAAGGCUGAGGAGAUGCCAAUACCUUUCAACAGGAUCCAUAACCUAAGGAGGCUUCAUGGAGGCACAGUUAAUCCAGCAGCACAGACUUGCCCUGGAAGCCAUUAUGCCCCUAGAUGGACCACAUCAUACUUUAUGUGCAAAACAGUGCAGAAAUGUGCCAAAAGAUCUGAAGCAACCUGGAAUUAAGAACUGUGCCGCGUCAUGCCUUCCAAUACCAGCACUUUACAAGCUUCUAGAGGGAGCAGUAGAUGGAACUCGAACCUGAUACCAGAGGAGCCCCCACAGAGCAUGUGCAAAGAAGUCUUUGAUGCCAUUCCACAGAAAGCUUGCCUGGCAGACCUCGGUCAACAGCCCUGCUACCCAGGGAGCCAAAUUCAAUGCAUAACCAUGGAUGAACUUUGAAAAAUUCAGCUGAAAUGAGGAUUGUGAUGUACUGGAGGAGGAGGAGGGAUCAUUUGCUUGAACCUUCAACCUACUGCCUCUGUAUUAAUCCCCAAGAUUGAUGCUGCAUACAUGGAAUCUGGGUUUGUUCUGAUAAAGAGGUUUGUAGGCUGCCUGCUCUCCCAAAUUCUGCCCUUUGAUAUGCUUGCAUAACUCCCAUAUGCUCCAAUUGCUGAAUCAGCUAGGCAAAUAUGGAGCCAGAUUUCUGCAGAACGCCCACCCAUGAAAACUAUUCUAUUUCAUGUGAUCCAGGGUUCCCUGAAAGGCCAAUAGACAUUGUACACACCCCAAAUCCUGUAUGAAACCACUCUGCUUUGGCCUGGAACAGCCAAUUGAGCAUGGGGAAGUCUGUAACCACGCCCUAUAGUGUGAAUUUUUAAAAUUUUUCCUAUAGGCCUAAUCCAAAGCCCACUGAAGUCAAUGGAAAGAUUCCCAUUGACUUUACUGGGCAUUAGAUCAGGCCCUAAAAUGAUGAAGGCUGAUCUCACUCCAGACCUCUUUCUAAUCUCAAUUAUUCUGAUUGAAUUUAAGAGACUCCACUGAUGUCAAUGGAGUUACAGCAGUUUUAAAAACACCGGAGGGAUCAGAAUCAGGCCCUCAAUUCUCUCUGAUGUUACUUUACAUUUUGCCUACCUUGCCUCGUGCUAUUGAGAAUAUAUUAUGAACCAAGAGGUGUACAGAUACUUGUGCUGUUUAUUUAAAGCUACAGCUAGAAGCAAUGCACCAGAGGCCGAGGAUGGCUCUAAGCAGAAGAUUUAGAGUGAAGCAGAGAGGGAGAGACAGUAGCUUUAGGGAUGAUACUGCUUUUCUUAUUCUAAUAAUGGUCCUUUAAGUGUUGGAAGAAGGUGGCUUUUUCUGUAUUACACUAAUAGGGAUGAUAAACAAGGGGUCGACAACCUUUGACAUGCGGCCCAUCUGGGUAAUCCGCUGGUGGGCUGUGAGACAUUUUGUUUACAUUGACCAUCCUCAGGCAUGCCCCUCCCCCCCCCACCCCCCCCGCAGCUCCAGGUGGCCGUGAUUCACUGUUCCCGGCCAAUGGGAGCUGCUGGAAGCGGUGCGGUCAGCAGGGACUUUAUAACAUUUCUUUUAAUAGCUGCCAAUCUCGAAGGGUAUUGGAAUGCUGCAACUGUUGUACAUGCAGUUAAAUAGGAUAUGGUUUGCAAUAUCAUUCAGAGAAAGUUGCACACAUAAUAUUCUAAAGAAAAUGGUGGAGUCAGUGAACAUUUUUAAUCUACUUGACGACUAUUAAUAGCACUUACACAAAGGACAAGAGGCUGAUCAAAGGAUAGGACACAAAAUUCACAAUAGAAAUAACAUUUCAACCAAUCUAUAUAACCUUCCUAUACAAAGAAAUUAAAACAACUAGAGAUUAUUAUUUAUAGCAAUGUCACAUGAAGGAAAAUUAAUCAUAGUUUAGCAGGUGGUGGGAUAGUUUGCAUCUACAAUUUUAAGUGCCAUUUUUAAGGAAGGCCAAAUUCCUGAUUAAGUCAACAGUCUGCAGGAUCGUCGUACUAAUAAUAUA